UUCAGUUUUGUGUGAUUAGAAAGUUGGCAACCCUAUCAGAGCACUUUUUAACUGUAGUCUUCACAGCAUUUAGCAUGAUCAUAAGCUUUUCAGGGAUGGGACUGUCUCCUACUAUGUGUUUGUAAAGCUCCUAGAACAAUGGUGCAUCUAGGCACUGCCAUCAUAUAACUCAUGAACAAUCAUCUCGGAUU